AGUGAACGCUGGCGGUAGGCCUAACACAUGCAAGUCGAACGGCAGCACAGUAAGAGCUUGCUCUUACGGGUGGCGAGUGGCGGACGGGUGAGGAAUACAUCGGAAUCUACUUUUUCGUGGGGGAUAACGUAGGGAAACUUACGCUAAUACCGCAUACGAACUACGGGUGAAAGCAGGGGAUCUUCGGACCUUGCGCGAUUGAAUGAGCCGAUGUCGGAUUAGCUAGUUGGCGGGGUAAAGGCCCACCAAGGCGACGAUCCGUAGCUGGUCUGAGAGGAUGAUCAGCCACACUGGAACUGAGACACGGUCCAGACUCCUACGGGAGGCAGCAGUGGGGAAUAUUGGACAAUGGGCGCAAGCCUGAUCCAGCCAUACCGCGUGGGUGAAGAAGGCCUUCGGGUUGUAAAGCCCUUUUGUUGGGAAAGAAAAGCAGCAGGUUAAUACCCCGCUGUUCUGACGGUACCCAAAGAAUAAGCACCGGCGAACUUCGU
rnacentral:rRNA from 1 species